rnacentral:lncRNA from 1 species
AGAAGAAACCUGAAGAAAUUUCAAAGCUUUUCAAGUUAGUUGAAGAAAAGAAGAGGGAAAAAGAGGAAUUGACAGUAGAAGAAGGAGAAAGUGAGGACUUUAAGGAUGUAGCUAUGGAAGAUUUUGAUGACGAGGAUGAUGUUGAUGAUGAUGAUGAUGAUGAUGAUGAAGAAGAAGAGGAUGAUGAGGAGGAGGAGGGUGAUGAUGGUGAGAAGAGCGAAGGCGGGGAGGAGGAGAAUGGAGGGGUAAAAGGGGGACUGGAGGAUAAGUUUUUC